rnacentral:rRNA from 1 species
UACAGAGGGUGCGAGCGUUAAUCGGAAUUACUGGGCGUAAAGCGUGCGUAGACGGUUAUUUAAGUCGGGUGUGAAAGCCUCGGGCUCAACCUGGGAAUUGCAUUCGAGACUGGAUAGCUAGGGUACGGUAGAGGGAAGUGGAAUUUCCGGUGUAGCGGUGAAAUGCGUAGAUAUCGGAAGGAACAUCAGUGGCGAAAGCGACUUCCUGGACCAGUACCGACGUUCAGGCACGAAAGCGUGGGGAGCAAACAGG